AGUACAUCAGCUAAAUGCUUAUGCCUUUUAUAAUCAGUCCCUAGAGCAGGGACUCCAGAUGUUGUUGACUACAUCUCCCCUGAUGCUUUGCCAGCAUUAUAGCUGUAAGGGUAUUCUGGGGGAUGUAGUCUACAACAUCUGGAAUGCAGACGUUGCCUGCCCUAGAGAACAUGAUCGUUUUGCAGUAACAGACAGGGCUCUCUCUGUGAUAUACAUGUAACACAUCAACAUG